rnacentral:misc_RNA from 1 species
AACAUCGCGCACCUGCGGGAACCUGCGGAAGGAUCAUUAAUGAUUGGUGGCUGUUGCUGACUAGUGUUUCUAGUAUGUGCACGCCACACCUUCAAUCCCACUUACACCUGUGCACCUUCUGUAAUAGAUCUAUGUGGAUACGGAGAUAUGAAAGUUUGCGCUCUCGUACUCUGUUGAAGCAGUCUACUGCGUUUUUUUACACACACACAAUAGUCAUUGAAUGUAUUUUUUAUUCUUAUG